ensembl:lncRNA
CCAUGCUCCCCGCCCAUGACUCUUCUUUCCUUGUUCUCUUCCUCCUCAGCAAGCGCAUCUGCUGCAAGGGUGCGGUCCUCAAACCCUGACGUUGGAACUACCCUUCCGGCCCCCAUAGUGAACGCUACUCUGUGCUGGCACGACACGUGCGUAAUCUCAUUCAGCAUCUCUGAUCCCAGAGGAGCAGGAACCCUGAAGUAGCCUGUGGCACUCUUGACCUUCAACAAACCCUAUGCAUACAUCAAAGUCCUAUACAGAAAGUGUCCAGGAAAUAACUGCUGAUCGAUUGUUACUUUAUUGCAGAAUUCCUUUAAGAUGGACCAAUACCAGCAGAUGGUGUUUUGUGUAUAGGAAAACAAACUGGACACUUUUCCAUUUCCUUUCGGGCCCUGGAUUACAGGAUGCUGUAUGCCCAUACUUAUCCCAUAAGGCAUGUCUCUGCCUACUGACCCGCACAGCAGCAACCCUUCCCAGCGUAUUUCUCCCUUGGCUACUGAAGACCUAAAAGCCCCAGGGAAUGAAGAACCUGUUGCCCAGAAAGGCUGAGUAACUUGCUCAGACACACAACUAGAGAGUGACAGAGCCAGACUUCUGAGUCCCUAAACUCUGAUCGGUUUACCCAACUCCCUACAUAGCACUGAUCGUUUGAAUCGAUUCCAAUUUGGUUUUCCUUCAACGGUGGAUAAACCUUUUGGGGUAUCUACAGAUCAAGCUGCUGCCACAGGAAGCCCACCUGGGAACAGGGUGAGGCAGCACUCCCAGCAGAAUAGCAGCUCGGGGCACUGGUUCUGAAGCCCCCUGCUUGUCCCACUCAAAACCCACAGAGUCCUCCUCUAAAUAAUCCCAUGAAAUGGGUAUUUUUUUCAACGUCCCUAGAUGAGAAAACUGAGUCCAGUGGGACUAACCUCAAACACGACAGCUGUGAAGCAGCCAGACAGAGAUCCAAACCCAGGUGUCCCGUGCAGCCACAGUCUCUCCCCUCCUUCCCUCACCACCACCCCAGAGAGAGCCUUUGAGAUUCCCAGGGCCAUCCACAAACCUGAUCACCCCUGGGGAAGAAGCUACUCUGAGCUCUCAUUUCCUGGGACAGAACAGAGGUCAUGUCUAUUUUCCUUGGCCCAGCUCCCUUCAGGGGAGUCAACCUUUGCCCAGCCUGAGAGCUCAAAAGACUUUUCAAGAAAAACGUUAAACACUGUACGUUUGAAGCAUUCGUUACAUUUCCAAAAUGUUUGCGCUACAUUUAAUGAUGGAGAAUUUUUUCUUUUACAAUGGAGCUAAAAGCUGCUGCAUAUAAAAGGACAGAGACUCUCAGGGUACAUGCUGGUUUGAGGCACCAGAAAGCACUGGAAAUAGAUUAAACCAUCAAGAUUUUCAGAACAACCACCAAACGUUACAGCUCGCAUUCAGACUCAUUACUGGCCUUUGCGUCCUUUGGGAAGAGGUCGAGGUGACAUAAACUCCGGAGGAGGCCUGGUGAGGGAGUGGCGCGGGGACAAACACAAGCAAACGGAAAUGACAGCAGGAAACCAAACCGGGAAACGCUACCUGGGCGUGGGCAGGAUGCCAUCCUCAUCCACGGCUGGGUGGAGAGCACGCAGGACUGGCCUGAAGGAAGCCAAGGCCAGCCCAGAGCCCACUUCUGUGGGAGGAAGAGCAGUGCGACUAGAGGCAAAGCAGAAGCCAGGAAGACACCAUGACUUCUCCCGAUCAGGAGGUGCACAAACUGGAGGCGAAGCAGGCCAUGGCAGGACUGGCACCCACACUCUAGAAGCCUGAGGAGGAAGACUGGUCAUCAUCACCCACACCGAGCUCAGAGCACAGCGCCAUCACCCCUAGAGUAACACGAAAGCAAGACCUUGCAUUCUCACUGAAACGUGUGCUGGGGGCUCUUCGUGGUUUUGGAUUGCCUUCCCCAGAAUGAGACAGAGACUCCACUAACCCCGCUAUAACGUAGGCUCCUUAACAUCCAAGGCUUUCUCUUGUUCACUGUCCCAUCCUCAGCACCAAGAACUGUGCCUGACACGGAGAGAUGCUUGCUAUACUUUUGUGGACUUGCUAAGAAAACCAGCCAAAGAGAGAAGUGCAGACAUCCUUCAUCAUUCUGCCCCCGGUGCAUCUGUCACAAAGGAGAUGCCAACCUGUGACAUCAGCGCCCUGUGCUGGGACAGCCCCCAACUCCAGCUUCUGCUCCUCUCUUAGAUCUCAAGCUGCCCGGUGACCAGCAGCCUGGGGAAACUCGUCGCCAGGCUGCCUCAGUGUGAAAAGAACUGUGCUUAUUCUAAGAGGAAAAAAGAAGAGCAUGAAGUCACCCUAUUUUGCAAUCAGGAUUCUUCAACAGCCAAAUGUGCUUAAAUCCAAAAUGCCCCCUCCCUGAGUGAGAUCACGGAUGGAGUGAGCGCUCGCGGCUGAGUCGGUGAGCUUUCGGAAAAAGCAGAGUUUUACAAUAACAGCCUCAACACACGCAGCUCCCUCUGAAAUUCUCAACCAUCCAAACAGGUUCCUGCUCCCCAAGAGAAGGACACAGUCUCUUUGUUUGCUUUAAUCCAAGGACAAAGAUGAUGACCACUGGCGACGGCUUAAGUGGAUAUUCAGCCCAUUCAAAAACAUCAGGGAUGUUUUAUUCAUUGACUUAUUCACUCAUCAACAAACACUUCUGGAGCACUGUGUCCAAGCUUGAGAAAGAACGAUCAGCAAAAACAGACUCAGUUCUACUCUGAUGGAGCUUCUGGCUGACCCUAGCUUAUAGUUUGUGGAGCUUACAGGCUGACAUCAAUCAAUCACAAAGAAACACACAAUUUCAAGUUGCCUGGAGCAUAAAUGUGGAGAUUUGAUCCAAUUGAGAAGAUCAGAGAAGACUUCUCUGAAGAAGUGAUAAUUCAACUGAAAUUUAAAGGAUUGAGUAGAAAGUAUCCAGCGAAGAGAAAGGAGAACAAAUUGUUCCAGGGGAAGGAACACAAUGUACAAAGGCUGGUAGUGAAAAAGAGCAACCCUCAGCAUGCCUGAAAUACACAAGGGGGAUGCAGUGGGAAAUGAGCCUGGAAAAGUUGGCAGGGACAGACACUGAAGACAAGUCACACGAAGAAGCUUUGUCUUCAUCCUAAGAGUAACAGGAAGGCAUCAAGGUUCUAAGCAGGAAGUGGUACACUCAGAUUUGUGUUUUGAAGCCAUGGUAGACGCAACAUGGAAAAGAAUGGGAGGGUCAAGAUGGAAGCAGGCAGACCUUUGAGGAGGCCAUGGUAGCAGUCCAUGUGACCGUUCAUGGACCAGGAUGGUGGUAGAGGAGAUGAAGAGGAGAAAAUGAAUUUGGAGUUGUUUAGGACGUCAAAGCAGCAGACCUUGCUGAUUAAUUAGAUGCAGAAUUGAGUGUGAGAAGGUAUCAAGGUCAACUCCUGGGUUUCUGGCUUGUGUGAUUGGAUGUUUGAUGGAACCAUUGAUUGAGAUAGGGCUCACUGGAAGAGGAGCAAGUUUUAAGGAGAAAUUAUUUGACACUCUUGCAAAGCAGAAGUUGGUGAGUUUGAUUUUGAACUUGUUUGCCUUGAAGAGCCUUUGUGGCAUCAAGGGGGAAAUGCCAAGCAGGCGGGAGAAAUCCUGGGACAGGAGAGAGCGUGGUGAGUUCCAGGAACCCAAGGAAGGGAGUGUGACUGGAACGAAGAGAGAACAGGACACAGCCAGUCCAUCAGGGUCCUGUGGGUUUGGGUGAGGAGCUUGGUCUUUAUCCCACUGAAGAGUUAAUUCCUGAAAUUCUGAUGAGUGGCCUUUGAAGCCAAGCCCUUUGAUUCUGAUAGAGUUAAACAUCCCAGCCAAAUGCCCUUUUCAGAGGCAGUGAGGCAGUGAAGAGCAAGUCACAUCUCAGUGUUUCAUCCAGUGCCUUGGGUUGAACAUGUGUUUAAUCAAUAUUUGUUGAGUAAAUAAAUUAAAUGUCUAAUA